rnacentral:tRNA from 1 species
GCUUCCUUAGCUCAGUCGGUAGAGCGCGAGUCUCAUAGUCUGACCACGUGUAGUGGGUAAUCUCGAGGUCGCAAGUUCGAGCCUUGCAGGGAGCA